rnacentral:tRNA from 1 species
GGGCCAGUGGCGCAAUGGAUAACGCCCCUGACUACGGAUCAGGAAAUUCCAGGUUCGAAUCCGGCUGGCUCG